rnacentral:piRNA from 1 species
UAGAUCGUUAUGGAAUGUUCU